rnacentral:rRNA from 1 species
GAUGAACGCUGACAGAAUGCUUAACACAUGCAAGUCGAUGGGGAAGUGGUGCUUGCACCAUGGUAACCAUGGCGGACGGGUGAGUAACGCGUAAGGAACUUGCCUGCGGGACUGGGAUAGCAGCAGGAAACUGCUGAUAAUACCGGAUAAGGUCAUUAAGCUGCAUAGCUUAGUGAUGAAAGGAGACGCCUGCGGAGAGCCUUGCGUCCUAUUAGCUAGUUGGAGGGGUAACGGCCCACCAAGGCGAAGAUAGGUAGCCGGCCUGAGAGGGUGGACGGCCACAAGGGGACUGAGAUACGGCCCUUACUCCUACGGGAGGCAGCAGUGGGGAAUAUUGGACAAUGGGGGCAACCCUGAUCCAGCAAUUCUGUGUGCACGAAGACGGUUUUCGGAUUGUAAAGUGCUUUCAGCAGGGAAGAAGGAAGUGACGGUACCUGCAGAAGAAGCGACGGCUAAAUACGUG